AUUUAUUUAUCAAUAGUGCUACGUACAACAAUUGUGCGUAACCAUUGCGCACCCAACGCUGAGGUGGCGUUGUCAGACGGUUUGUAUUAAAAAAAAAAAAAAAAAAAAAAUUGAGGGAAAUCGAAAUAGAAAGACAUACCCGUACCGUACUGCUUUUCUGCUUUUCACUUCUGGUUCCUUCUUCUGCAAGCCGAAUGCAUUUUGGAGGUUGUUUUGAAUUCUCGUUGACGCAGAACUGGUUGUUUCUGUGUUUUUUUUUUUUUUUUUUCCCUUCAUCUCCCCCAAAUCUCUUCCUCUACCUGUUGGCCGGUUUGCUCUACACCGACCAAGUCCUCUGCACACGACAUUAUCCUCUGCUUCAUACGGUCUCAGAUAAAGUCAUUAACAGAUAUAACCGGACGUUGGACCCGACUUCAUGAACGAAUGGUUCUGAGAUGGAGAAAGGGAAAGGGAAAGAGCAUGCAUCUCCUAUAACGCCUCUUGCCACUAAUCCAUCAAUUAAUCCAUCAACUCAGGUAUGAGGAGUUUCUCACCUCUUUCAGUUUUUUUACUCAUUAUAAUGACAUGGUUGUUGACAUCUUAGGUGAUACCGAGACCAUUUUUUACAUAUUUGUCAACACCU